rnacentral:miRNA from 1 species
UAAUAACUCGUUGGGUUCAAACCA